CUCAUAAAGUGCGUCGUAGUCCGGAUUGGAGUCUGCAACUCGACUCCAUGAAGUCGGAAUCGCUAGUAAUCGUAGAUCAGAAUGCUACGGUGAAUACGUUCCCGGGCCUUGUACACACCGCCCGUCACACCAUGGGAGUGGGUUGCAAAAGAAGUAGGUAGCUUAACCUUAGGGGGGGCGCUUACCACUUUGUGAUUCAUGACUGGGGUGAAGUCGUAACAAGGUAACCGUAGGGGAACCUGCGGUUGGAUCACCUCCUUAAACUGAAG
rnacentral:rRNA from 1 species